CCUACGGGAGGCAGCAGUGGGGAAUAUUGCACAAUGGGGGAAACCCUGAUGCAGCGACGCCGCGUGAGUGAAGAAGUAAUUCGUUACGUAAAGCUCUAUCAGCAGGGAAGAAAAUGACGGUACCUGAGUAAGAAGCCCCUGCUAAUUACGUGGCAGCAGCCGCGGUAUUACGUAGGGGGCAAGCGUUAUCCGGAUGUACUGGGUGUAAAGGGAGCGUAGACGGUGCGCCAAGUCUGGGGUGAAAUGCCGCGGCUUAACUGGGGAACUGCUUUUGAAACUGGCCAACUAGAGUGCGGGAGGGGUAAGCGGAAUUCCUAGUGUAGCGGUGAAAUGCGUAGAGAUUGGGAGGAACACCGGUGGCGAAGGCGGCUUACUGGACCGUAACUGACGUUGAGGCUCGAAAGCGUGGGGAGCAAACAGGAUUAGAUACCCUGGUAGUC
rnacentral:rRNA from 1 species